GGGAACCUUUCUACCUUUCCCCCUCACUUCUGAGAAGAAAGGGUUUCUUUUUCAGUUGGGGGAAAAGUGUGGCAGGGAGAGGGAAGCUUCCCACCAUUGGUUUUCAUUAUCUUGGGCUUGGGACUCCAACUACUGAACACUUGCCACUCUGUUGUUCCCAGUACUUGGGCUUUUAGUACAACCACCUACAACAGGAAGGAGAAGCUGAGGAUAUCGACCCUUCCAAAUGCUGCAGGCUAUGUAUUCCAGCGUCCACCCGCCCUCCUCAGUGGAAGGUUGUGCGCCGCUCCGUGCCGUCAGCAGCGAUGUGGGCAGCCUGCUGCAGGGCUGCUCCUGCAGAAACCACAGAGCGUGCACUGCUUUGCCUCCACCCUGCUCUCCACAGCACCGCACACGGCCUCAAAGGCUGCCCCAC